rnacentral:rRNA from 1 species
UACGGGGGGGGCAAGCGUUGUUCGGAAUUACUGGGCGUAAAGGGCUCGUAGGUGGCCAACUAAGUCGGACGUGAAAUCCCUCGGCUUAACCGGGGAACUGCGUCCGAUACUGGACGGCUUGAGUUUGGGAGAGGGAUGCGGAAUUCCAGGUGUAGCGGUGAAAUGCGUAGAUAUCUGGAGGAACACCGGUGGCGAAGGCGGCAUCCUGGACCAACACUGACACUGAGGAGCGAAAGCCAGGGGAGCAAACGGG